UACGUAGGGUGCAAGCGUUGUCCGGAAUUAUUGGGCGUAAAGAGCUCGUAGGCGGUUCGUCGCGUCGGCUGUGAAAACCUGAGGCUCAACCUCAGGCCUGCAGUCGAUACGGGCGGACUUGAGUUCGGUAGGGGAGACUGGAAUUCCUGGUGUAGCGGUGAAAUGCGCAGAUAUCAGGAGGAACACCGGUGGCGAAGGCGGGUCUCUGGGCCGAUACUGACGCUGAGGAGCGAAAAGCGUGGGGGAGCGAACAGG
rnacentral:rRNA from 1 species